GCGGAGGGAUCAUUACUGAGUUCCACUGGACUCCCACCCUGUGUGAUUCGACUCGCGAACCACUUUGUUGCCUCGGCAGAAAACAGUGGUUGAGACCUGCCCCCUAGCGGUGCGGGCUCCCAUCAGCUGCCGAGCGAGCAAAAACUCUUCUUGUAAUUGUUGGCAUCUCUGAGUAGCUUUUGCAAUAAGUCAAAACUUUCAACAACGGAUCUCUUGGUUCUGGCAUCGAUGAAGAACGCAGCGAAAUGCGAUAAGUAAUGUGAAUUGCAGAAUUCAGUGAAUCAUCGAAUCUUUGAACGCACAUUGCGCCCGCCAGUAUUCUGGCGGGCAUGCCUGCCCGAGCGUCAUUUCAACCCUUCAAGCCCAGCUUGUGUUGGAGCCCUGCGGUCCCCCCUCGCAGGCUUCUAAAAGCAGUGGCGGGCUCGCCAUCACACUGAGUGCAGUAGUGUUCUCGCUCCUGUGUGUUGGUGGGUUCCAGCCGUAAAGCCCCCUACAUUAUACAAGGUUGACCUCGGAUCAGGUAGGAAUACCCGCUGAACUUAAGCAUAUCAAUAAGCGGAGGA
rnacentral:rRNA from 1 species